UACGUAGGGGGCAAGCGUUGUUCGGAAUGACUGGGCGUAAAGGGUGCGUAGGCGGUGUAGCAAGUUAGAAGUGAAAUACCUAGAGCUUAACUCAGGUGCUGCUUCUAAAACUGCUAUACUUGAGUGCAGUAGAGGAAAGUGGAAUUCCUAGUGUAGCGGUGGAAUGCGUAGAUAUUAGGAGGAACAUCAGUGGCGAAGGCGACUUUCUGGACUGUAACUGACGCUGAGGCUCGAAAGCGUGGGGAGCAAACAGG
rnacentral:rRNA from 1 species